rnacentral:rRNA from 1 species
GAGGAAUAUUGGUCAAUGGGCGAGAGCCUGAACCAGCCAAGUCGCGUGAAGGAUGACUGUCUUAUGGAUUGUAAACUUCUUUUAUACGGGAAUAACAAGAGUCACGUGUGACUCCCUGCAUGUACCGUAUGAAUAAGCAUCGGCUAACUCCGUGCCAGCAGCCGCGGUAAUACGGAGGAUGCGAGCGUUAUCCGGAUUUAUUGGGUUUAAAGGGUGCGUAGGCGGCCUGUUAAGUCAGCGGUGAAAUCUAGGAGCUUAACUCCUAAAUUGCCAUUGAUACUGGCGGGCUUGAGUGUAGAUGAGGUAGGCGGAAUGCGUGGUGUAGCGGUGGAAUGCAUAGAUAUCACGCAGAACUCCGAUUGCGAAGGCAGCUUACUAAGGUACAACUGACGCUGAAGCACGAAAGCGUGGGUAUCAAACAGGAUUAGAUACCCUGGUAGUCCACGCAGUAAACGAUGAUAACUGGGCGUAUGCGAUAUACAGUAUGCUCCUAAGCGAAAGCGUUAAGUUAUCCACCUGGGGAGUACGCCGGCAACGGUG